ensembl:lncRNA
CAACAACAAAAUAACAAGUUAAUCUGCUGAACGUACGAACCCAUCGCUAAGCAGACAUACCCAUCGCUAGGCGGACGAACCCAUCGCUAGGCGGACGAACCCAUCGCUAGGCGGACGAACCCAUCGCUAGGCGGACGAACCCAUCGCUAGGCGGACGAACCCAUCGCUAGGCGGACGAACCCAUCGCUAGGCAGACAUACCCAUCGCUAGGCGGACGAACCCAUCGCUAGGCGGACAUACCCAUCGCUAGGCGGACAUACCCAUCGCUAGGCGGACAUACCCAUCGCUAGGCAGACAUACCCAUCGCUAGGCGGAGGAACCCAUCGCAUGAAACAAAAAAACGCCUUCCCACUGUCCUCCAUAUACAUCCAACUCUCAAAAUUACACGACUAAUUAGCAUUUAACUGUUAUUUCCUUCAUUAGCAGGAAGCUUGGUCAGGUUUUAAUUUGAAUGUAUCAGAGCAUAAACGUGGCCUAUACAUACGGGGACCACAUUACAGCCUCAAUGAACCUCCCAGCCAAUUAAAACAGCUCGUCACAGUACCUCUACCCUGUUACUAGUGUGGCACAUCCCCGGGAUCACAGACACUAACACACACUGUCAGACAUAUACACACACUCAUACACACACUGUCAGAGACACACACACUCAUACACUAACACACACACACACACACACACACACACACUGUCAGACACACACACACUCAUACACUAACACACACACACACACACACUGUCAGACACACACACACUCAUACACUAACACACACACACACACACACACUGUCAGACAUAUACACACACUCACUAUAAUCCCCAUUCCACCUGAGGAGACAGUCUCUGUCCGUUGUUGGACAACUGAUGUCACUGCUGGUGAUGAGAACAAACAUCUUGUAAAGGAACUCCGAGACGCAGCGUCAGGCGUGGGUGUCCAAUAAUACAUAAUACACACACAGAGACACACACACACACACACACACACAGAGACACACACACACACACAUAGUCAC